rnacentral:tRNA from 1 species
AGGACUAUAGUUAAAAAUAACAUUUAAUUUGCAAUUAAAAAGUAUUGAGUAAUCAAUUUGUCUUG